rnacentral:rRNA from 1 species
AUUGAACGCUAGCGGGAUGCCUUACACAUGCAAGUCGAACGGUAACAGGUCUUCGGAUGCUGACGAGUGGCGAACGGGUGAGUAAUACAUCGGAACGUGCCUAGUAGUGGGGGAUAACUACUCGAAAGAGUGGCUAAUACCGCAUGAGAUCUACGGAUGAAAGCAGGGGAUCGCAAGACCUUGUGCUACUAGAGCGGCCGAUGGCAGAUUAGGUAGUUGGUGGGAUAAAAGCUUACCAAGCCGACGAUCUGUAGCUGGUCUGAGAGGACGAUCAGCCAGACUGGGACUGAGACACGGCCCAGACUCCUACGGGAGGCAGCAGUGGGGAAUUUUGGACAAUGGGCGCAAGCCUGAUCCAGCAAUGCCGCGUGCAGGAUGAAGGCCUUCGGGUUGUAAACUGCUUUUGUACGGAACGAAAAGCCCUGGGUUAAUACCCUGGGGUCAUGACGGUACCGUAAGAAUAAGCACCGGCUAACUACGUGCCAGCAGCCGCCGUAAUAC